GCAUGGGGACAGGACCCACGGGCAGUCAGAGUUUCUGCUGCUGCUGCCGCUGCCCCCGCUGGCAUGGGGACAGGGCCCAUGGGCAGGCAGAGCAGCUGCUGCUGCCCCCGCUGGCAUGGGGACAGGACCCAUGGGCAGGCAGAGCUGGAGCUCUGACUGCCUGUGGGCAGUCAGAGCUCCUGCUGCUGCCCCGAGUUGAGGGUUAGGGCUAAUUUUAUAAGGCAUGGGUAUGUGGGUCAUUUCUUUACAAGACAAAGGAAAGAACAUGAAAAAAAGUUAAAACGGUAUCAGUGCAGGUGGGGUCUGGUCAUUGGGUGAUCCCAUGACUUUUAGACAAGAAUCAAAUCGGAUUAAGUAAAGG
rnacentral:lncRNA from 1 species